rnacentral:lncRNA from 1 species
CCAAAAAUUUCCUUCAAAGGAGAAGAAGGCAUAGAUAUAGGUGGAUUGACACGUGAACUUCUAACACUACUGCUAUUCAAUUUGAAAGAAGAUGAAACUUUGUUUGAAGGCGAUGAUAAUGAAAAGACUCUCACCUUGAAUAAAAGGAAUCUUAAACAAGGCCGCUAUAACCUUGUAGGAAAAGUUAUCCAACUCUCCUUCCUAAACAAUGGGCCUGCUCCCAAGUUUUUUUCACCCCAUCUAUUUCAAUUGAUGGUUCAUUCAGAUGUGCCUGUCAAAGAACUGAAAGUGCGCAACGCAAACUUGGCUGCACAGCUAGAUGAUUUCAGGAAGUGUGAAACACCACGGGAUUGUAAUCGGCUUCUUGCAACGGACCUGAAUGAUUUCGUAAGAUGGGUAGGCACAAAACAUUGUGUGACCCAAGAAGAAUUUGAAGAGGCGAAAGAAGAAGUCAUUAAUGAUGUGAUCGAACAUUAUUGCAAAAUAAGGAUUUCUGAACCCCUCCAGCAACUAAAAGAGGGUCUCAACCAGGAAACACUUUUUUGGAACAAAUUCAAAAGAAUCCAGGAGCCUUUAAAUCUUUUUUUUGUUACGAUGAGAACACCAAACUUGAAGCCCGGGACAUCCUUACAUUGUUUCAUUUGCAACCGACCACUGAUCAGGAGGAGCUCAUUUCAGAUUGGUGGCAAUUGUUUGUCUUUCAAGUAGAAGAGGGGCUGUCCUCCAUCAGUCUCAGUGAUAUUUUAUCCUAUGCAACUGGAUGCAGUAAUUUACCUGUCGCUUUUGAGCACCGCCCUCGUAUCAGCUUUAUUCCUGAAGAUGUUCCAAGGGCAACUGAAUGUUUCAACACAUUAAAGUUACCGCUACUCUCUCCAGACUUCGAAACCUUCAAAAGAACAAUGGAGAAUUGCCUACAACAGAAAGUAUUUCUCACUGCUUAAGUUCUUGAGUUGGAGAGCAUUAUGCUAAUCAAAUUGAUGGAUGAAGGCAACUUCUGAUUUGAUUUAGAAAAAAGAAAAAAGAAACUUUCAUCUUUUUCAAAAAAAACUUUCUUUUUUAUGAUUCCAUUUUCUUAUCUCUCGUGUCUUUUUGCUUAAUUUUACAGUCUGAGUUGACUAAUGCCGGAAGUAGAAUGCUAAUAAGCUGCUCAGAACUAAAAUUGAUAAUUCUGGUUAUUUUUCCUGCCCCAUUAAUGUAUUAUUCUGUUGUAUUAUACAAAGACAUUCAGCAUGCACUCCUCAUUAUUGCAUUAACACUAACUCCUGCCAAGAUCUCAUUUUAAAAUUAUAUUAGAUUGAUAGAUCUCAGAUUUAAGUAGAGUAUUUAGGACCUUCUUCAAUAGUCUUCAUUUAUAUUGCUGAAAGUCUCCUCUUUUUUUUUGUUGCUAAUGACAUUUUUUUAGUACUUCUUCUUUUCUCUUGAAGCAUUCACAGUUGAGGUGGUCAAAGCCUAGAGUCCACAUAAACACUGAUAUAUUAUUAAGAUUGUGAAUCAAUUUUUUGUCUGAUAAAAAGGAUAUCAGGUGCUCUGGCUCAAAAUUUUCACUGCAGAUUCUCUGUGUGGUUUGCUAUUUUUCUGAGAAAAGACUGCGAACACUUAUGUGCCUGCAUUAAUGUAGUGGAAGAAAUAUAAUUGGUCACACAAUCUUAGCAACAAGGCAGUGCUCUCUGUAUGUUCUGACUAUGCUUGUCUUACUGUUGGAUUGAGGAAGCAAAAAUUACGAACGAAGAUACCGGGUGGUCUGGAUCACCCGGUAGGUUCACGUAACAAACUUUAUUCAGAGGAGCGGCUUGCUGCUGAGGGGGCUAGCAGAACAAGUGAUCGCACCAACAUUUGAUAUUCAUAAACAGGAUAGGAAGUCAACAUGUUGCAUCAUUAAUAAGGUGGAUCCUCAAUAUCUAGAUAAAGCAAUUUACUUGAGCGUAACCUUGAAAUAAUUUUCAAUCCUUGAUUGAGACUCAUAUCAUGUUCAAUUUUUUAAACUGUGUUUUUUCAUGCUUUAUUACCUGUUGUGAAUGUUUAAGACUUCAGUCAACACUCCUGGUGAGUAGGUUUUGUAUCCGCCAAUUUUUGUGCUGUUCUCUUAUUACCUUUGAAAAAGGUUGUACAUAUGUUUUGUUGAGCUACAUAGCUUACUGUGUUCAUUAAUAUUAAACAGUUCGUGGCGCUAUUAGAAAUAUCUACUGUAAAUUUUUUUUGGUUGGAGAUACUUAAGCAUUUUCUUUAGCUUUUGGGUGCACACAAUUUUAUUUGCCUUGGUCUUGUAUUGUUUAAUUAUUUUUUACUUAUGACAGGUAUGGAAUAUUCUUGAAUUUUGUAUCCUAUUUUGUUCGAACGGAAAUUGCAAUGUGGAUAGUGGAUUAAUGAUUAUUUGUGUUAUUAUUUUUAUCUUGCCUACAAAUUUGCUGAUUUAUUCCUGGAUUGUCAAUGUUUCUCAGAGGAAGUGGGUCAUUUCGUCACAGAAAGUAAAAAAAUUAAGAAAGAGGGAUAAUUAUGUGAACAGCCCAUAGUUAGCUUGAACUUCAGCUUUGAAACUUGCACCAAGCCAUGCACCUACGUACUACAAAACAGCAUCUUUAUUCCUUUUGUCUGCAGGAAAAAAAAUCACAAGUUGAGAGUUGUUUCUGUAAGUUUCAAAGGCAGGAAGAUCUGUAGAUUUUAAUGAAACCAAUCUUACUCCAAAGUUAUCGGGACGUUGUGGAUUCAUUACAAUCUGUAGUCUGGUAUCUAAUUCGAGCUUAUAUGUCAAUUUUCAGGGCAAUUCUUUCUUAGAAUGUAAAGCGUUUUAUACAGAAAUAUGUUUCGCAAGGUACUCAUUUGUCAAGUGAAUUGUAAUUCUCCCUCAUGUAUAAUUGAAUAUGACCUUUUAAAUUCUCUAUGUGGUCCAAGUUGGAAACUUUCUGCCUCUUAAUUCAUGUGUUAGUAUAAUGAUGAAAUAUGUUUCAUUUUUUCCAUUGAUUUUUAAUUUAGCAUGUCUUACAACAAGUGAAUGUAUUACUUCCAUUGGGAGAACGUUUAUCUCAAUUCUAAACUUUAAGCUUCGUUUGUUUCUUUUAUUCAAAAUAAAAUGUUCAUUUUUCAAGUUUAAGUUGCUGAUCACUCAUGUCAUACUCCUACAGAUGAUUAGAUCACAAGGUUACAUCUAAAGUAA